rfam:Pongo abelii chromosome 2a.
CCUUCGAUAGCUCAGUUGGUAGAGCGGAGGACUGUAGUGUAUGGAGCUGUGGUAAUCCUUAGGUCGCUGGUUCGAUUCCGGCUCGAAGGA